GUGAAAUAAAUCACAAACCAAACAUACACCCCUUUGUUUGAACGUGAACAUUUCUCCCAUCCCCUUUGUGAAAAGAGGGUCUUCAUUCUGUCGAGGCUUGAAGGCUCUCUUU
rnacentral:sRNA from 1 species